UCAUCUUGAUUCGGGAAUUAUUCCAAUAAUUUCUCUUCUCAAUUCCUUGACUACUCAAUUGAGUUCGUUUAUCGACCUUGAAUAAUUCAACGAGUUUCAGUCCGAUUCUCUAUCAAUUGUGAAUCGUUUCACAUAUUGACUUAUAUAAUAGUUGGAACCACUUCUUCUAUUAUGAUUCAGUAAAUCAUUUGAUUUGUUUCUACAGUGGUUCAAUGAACGUAAAUCGUUAUUUUCCCGACUCUUGGACCAUUUAGGAUUAUUGUAUUUAUCCACUAAAUCAUUCGUUUCGUACCCUUCUUGACUUGUGAUUUUGUGACCACAAGAUAUUAUCACUUGUUAUUGGAAUCCCACAACCGUUGAACUGUGAUAUUGGUUCUUUCCAAAGUGGAAUUCAUUAUUGGGAUUCAAAAUGUAAAUUGAGAUAGUCGGAAGCAUAUCCGUAUCUCUAUAUUAUUGAUUCCUUUGGGGACGCCCUAAGGAUAAUUGAACAGUUGGGCCCGAGGCUGUUCGAAAAAGACUGCCGGUCGGUAUUGGGCCGACGGUGGAUGGUCUCUUCGACAGUACCCAUAUUGGAUUCAGACCAUUGGCAUAGUUGGAGGUUAACUGUGCUGAUGGCUGAAUCGGCAUGCGCCCGGGCAUGCCAAUUGAUUGAUUAGCAGGGUCAUUCCCUGAUCGGUGUAUAAGGUAGUUACGGCUAAGGGAGUCACAAGGCAGGUACAAGUACAUGAACAAAUUGUUACCAUGGGAAUCUCCAUGGUCUCAUAUUUGAUAUCCGAAAUUGUUAUCGUGGGAAUCUCCACGAAAUUCAUAAUUGAUAUCCGGGAAUUUCCUGUUGACAUUGUUCUCUACCUGUACACAUUGAUUGUAUUAUUUACUCUGAUCACAUUGUUGUGCUCUCAUACUUUGGCUUUGUACCUUACCAAAUGAUCCUUCUCUAGAUGGUCCAAUUCCAAUAUCAUGUCUGACUUGUCCAUUGUUUUCUUAUUAUCCUUAUUAUUUGAUUCGACUGUUUUUCCCUUGUACUCCUCACUAAGUCCAUUUGGACUUAUUCCUCCUUUAUUUUCCUUCUUAUCCUCAGUAUCAGGUGCAUUAGUACACGAUUAUGUUGAUGGCUCUUAGGAGUAGAAGUUAUUCAGAGAUUUGAGAGAGUUCAAUCCAGUGUUGUAUUUAAGAAUGAUUGUAAUUCGAGAACUAUGAAUACAAGAUUAGUUGUGGUAUUUGGUUGUCACGUGUAUUUGAUUUUAUUGUUAAGAAAUUAAGUAAGAGACAUUAUAUUUAUUGGAAAUCAUUGUAUUUAUUUAUUGUAAUGGAAAAAAAAAAAAGUUAGUACGGUGUAUUUCGGUAGUGGGCGUCACAGGUGGUAUUCAGAGCUUGGGUUGGGUACCCGAGCGACGCCGGAUAUAGAUCCUUGGAAAUUGUAGAAACUUAGGUUUUAAAGGUUGAGUUUAGACUUUUGGAUGUUAGAGAGCUUUGAAUUUAAGUUUGAGAUUAAGGUUAUUUACGGUAUAUCUGCCUAUAAUAAUAAGUCAACAUUCAAUAUUAGAGGUAUUGAGAAGGUAUUUUGGCGUCUAUUAUCGAAAUAGUAAGUGAUAAAUAUUCCAUAUUAAUAUCCGACCAUCAAUCGUAGCUCACGAGACUCGGUUUAUCGUGUUUGUUCGAGGUUUAGAUGGACCUUGCAAGCAUGAAAGUUUAUUCUAGCCGAGAGAGAACGGUCCAUUCAAGAAUGGCAAGUUGUUCAUGCCUUAUUUUUAACGCAAGUAUUGACGAAAUCCAUAGGAGUUCAGAAGAAAGACUUGUAAUUUAUGGUGUGUUUACUCAAUAAAUCUAAGGAUAAGAUAGACGGCAAGAGAUAGCCAUAAUACGUGCUUCUCCACAAACGAAUUGAUCCCAAAUUCAUAAUAUUUGAGUUAGUUUAAUCGAGACUCUUAUCUAUUUUCCUAUAGAUAUUUGAUGUUCUUGGUUCUUUUGGCCACAUCAUAUUGCUAAUAUUGAUCACAUGUGAGGUUUCUUAACCCGUUUGAAUAUUCUACGGUUUGUCUUAUCCAUUUUCCGAGACUCUAUUUUAUUCUUCUACCAUCCACUUCUGUGUACCAACUUUCGGAGGUUCUUAUUUCAUUCGAAAUUGAUUCAACUCUUAUGAGAUUUCUAAUCUCGUUUCAAUUCGGAUAUCCCUUUCGUCCGACUUCUCAUUCAUUUGAGUACUAUUUCACUUGAUUUGGCUUACCUUAAUCUCGUUUUCAUUUAUAAUCUAGAGUGAGCCAAAUGCUUGAGCCAAAUGCCUGAGAGUUCAUAUACUCGAUUCUUUUAUCAUUUUAUUGAAUCCGAUUUUGUUCCAUUGCUCUAUGUGGAACAUUAUGGCAUAGGAGAACCAUAUUCUCUUAGAUUAAACUCUUAUGAGAUUUUUAUUCUCAUUCGCUUCGAUUACACUCUUGUGAAAUUCCUCAUUUCUUUUAAAUUUGGUUAUACCUUUUGUUAGAUUACUCAUUUUUUUGAGAACUCUAUCACUCGACUCGGCUCACCUGAAUCUCGUUUUCAUUAUUGCUCAAAGAUGAGCCGAAUUUUCCUAGAGUUCCUCUAUUCAAUUCUUUUAUCUUCCAUUGAAUAUGAUUUUGCUUCUUUGUCAUGUGUGGAAUCUUUUAUUCUGGUGCGAGUAACUCCACAUUUAUUCUCCCUCUCGCAUUGAUUCCGCAUAAGAUGAUGUACAAUUUAAAUUUCAUUGUUGAUCGUAUUUGAUUCUUCUGUUCUAGUAUCAAUACCUUAUGAUCUUGGUUACCAAAUUUUCUCGAGGUUUCCCAAUUAUUGAAUACCCCAUCUCUAUUAUUGAUCAUGAGUGAGAUUCCUCAUCUCGCUUAAAUAAUUCACGAUUAUGAUUCCACAUAUUAUUCAAGGUUUCUUAUUUCGUUGAAAACCUUGUGAUUACUUUAGUAUCCACCUAUGUAAUCAGAUCUUACAGUUGCCUCAAUAACUAUCCUUCUUGAGUGCAAACUUUUCAUGCACCAAGUAUAGUUCAAAGCUUGUGAUCCUUUGUUUUCAUUCAUGACUUGUCUAUGAAAAGUCCAUAUAGUUAUCGUGAUUUCGGAAGUCGAUGGAGUCUGUCCACUCUUGAGAUAUUUCGAGCUAUUCGAAUUGUUGAUUCUAAUCAUCUGGGCACGAGAGCUAAGUGUUAUAACAUGGGUAAGAUGCUAUGGUGGGAGCAAAAUUUCACUUCGGUACAACUAGACGUCUUCGAGCUAACGAACCAUUUGGGCGGGUAAGUGGACACAUUAAAGAUAGAUUGCGAAAGCAUACACGGAUUAUAGAUAAUAUUAGGACAAUUAUCAAGUGACAAUACAAAUUGCCUCACAAGUGGUUCGUGGUAUAAAGUGUCGAUCGUGCACGCAGUUCAGAACCAGAUGAGCGGUGAGCAACCAAUCACAACAAAUGCAAGGGCGUGGAGAUCGAAGAUCGUACAAGGUGCUAUCAGUGAAAUUCGAUGAAUCAAAUGAAGAACGAAGAUUGCAAGAUUUUGUUUUUGAAGAAUUAACGAAUGUUCCACGAGACACCGAAUCUGAACUUAUGGAACUGCUUUUAGAUCUCACCAAGAGGGUGAUCAAGCGAAACAGAUAAGAAGAAAUACAUUCCUUUGAAGAAAAUACCAUGGAUAGCUAAGGUUUGAUUUAAAGCUUCGACCGAUGUCGAGCUCGUAUCAAUCCCUCUUAUUCCUCGUCAGACCAUCUGUAGCACUCAUAGCUACAACCCUAACUCGAUUAUUUUUUCAAUAAUUGUUGUACCUUACAAGUCACGUUAAUUGGUUGACUACCAAUAUCUCUACCUGUAUGUAUUAUACCGUUAUAUAUUAGACAUUUUGCUCGGCAGCAAGGCUACCUCUAGUACGAGACCAAUGAUUUGAAUGGUAUUGGUGAUAAUACCACGAAUAUUGAGAUUCCACAAUUGGUACUUUCUGAUACUGUUUCUUUCAUGAGCAGUUGUGGGAAUUCGUUACGAUAAGUAUUCACUCGUUAUCCAAGUCAUUUCCGAAAUUGAGAACAUAUAAGCCAUCUUUCCAAUACUAUUUCUUUUCUUUCGUGAAGCUCGACCUUAUGGAAAAUUCGUAGUAAGUUCGAGGUACGUACUAAGCUAGCACCAUCGACCAAUCUUGAGUAUUCUUCCUCUAAACGGCAUAGCGUGAAGAUAAAUUAUCAUAUGAAUGGAGAUCGGUUCUUAUUUCGGCACCAACUCUCGAGAGAGUAACCACGUAAGGGUUAUCCAUCUUGGUGACGAAUUCCUCAACAAAAAGAUGUAAAAGGUAUUUCGGAGAAACUAUCAAGUUGAAGAAGCCACAAGUUAGCAACAAGAUGAUUAUCGAAGACUAUUUCCCGUGUCCGAGUAUUAAUUGAGAAUCUGGGGACCAGAUUCCUUUAAGGAGGGGAGAUUGUAACACCCGUAAUUUAUGCUUGUGUUAUAUAUACAUAUACACAAGAGUUUAUUGUGCUUAAUAAUGAGAUUUGGGGCUGAUGUGUUAUUAUAUGAUAAUUUUGGGGCAUAAGCAUAAUAAUUCUAUAAUUAUAAAACUUGGCAGCCAAGUUUAUGACUGGGGGAUAAGUAUAAUAAAUAUUUUUAUAAACUUGGCAAUCAAGUUUAUGACUUGGUAAUCCCCGAUAAAUACGUCUCUCGUCUUCUCUCUUUCUCUAUCCUCUCUCUUUCUCUCUCGCUACUCUCUCCUUUUCUCUCUCGGUUCUUGGCUGAAUUCGAGAAAUUAAUUGAAGAAAAUUCGAAGGGGUUUGAAGAAGUGAGGUAUAUGAAACAAAUUUGAGGUUGGAAUUGCAAAUCCCCAAUUCGAUUUAUUGGCAGAAUUAGGGCUGUGUGAAGGAGGCUCUAUCAAGGGGCUAUUAUGAUCAGAUCGCCUCCGGUGGUGGUCGCAUCAGAUGAUUGGCGGUGGUGGCCGGAAUCCGACGAAGAAGACAAGCUGUCUUAGAAUCGGAUUUCAGCUUUUGGUCCUUCGAAGAAUUAAUUGCUCGGAGGCCUUAGAGGUUGAAUAUUGACGAUCAGGACACACGGUUAGAAACCUUGAGAUGUUAGCCUUCCAUUGGUGUUGGAGCUCGGUAGUAUUUAAUCGGCGGUGGUUGCCGGAAUUGGGCAAGAAGUUCAGCCCCCUCGCCGGAACCUUGAAGGAAAUAGUAUUUGCUGCCGCACCUGUUUUCGGAGCAGAAUUUGGAGGGUUUGGAGUGAGAAUUUGGGAAUCAUUCCUUCACAAAACUCGUAGAGGACCUCGAAAACUAUUGGUAAGUGUAAAGUUGUAUCGAGUUAGAGUAUGUUUUGAAGCUGAUUAGAGGUCCGAAUAAAGUGACGGUAAAUCGGUAAAAACAGGGCAGUUUUGAAUAUUCUUCUUACGAGGCCGUUUUUGCUAUGUUGAGCUAAUAAUUUGGGCUGUGUGUCUUCUGAGAACUUGUAGUUUACAUUGUAAGGUUCAAUUUGGUGUAUUAUUUGGACAAUUUGGAUAAUUUUACAAAUAGUUAUGAAUUUUACAAUAAGCUGUACCAGAAAUAAUCUUUCCAAAAUCCCGGCAGUUCUGUAAUGCUGGUUUGAGGCUGUUUCUGCUAUUUUCGGUUCCGAAUUUGGAACUAAAGCCUUCUGUGAACUCGUAGGAUUUUCUGUUAGCUUUCAUUUGACGUAUCAUGUGAUCAAUUUGGAUUAGCGUGCUAAUUGUUAUGAUUUUUCAAACAAACUAUGCCAACAACGAAUUUUCCAAAAACCUGGCAGUUUCAUGUACUCAUCUUCCGAGGCUGUUAUUACUGGGUUAAGUCGAUAAUUUGGGCUCAAGGUCUUCAGUAAACCUGUAGACACUGAUGUUAGCUUUAAUUCGAUAUAUCGUUUAGGUUAUUCGGAUAAGUAAGGUGAUCGUAACGAUUGUUUGAAUAAGCUGUGGCAGCAAGACAUUCGUAACAAAUGUUUCAAGAAAUUGACUAUGUGAUAUAGUGGAAUAAUACGAUUAUAUUAGCAUUUGGAAUCUUGUUUAAGUGAUGAAUAUGUUUAUAGGUGUCGAGCGUACUAAAGCUCUCAUUCAAGACUUGAGCAUGACUCAAGAGUAAGGUGUUCUUAUAGCACUUGCAUUGGACUUCAGGUGAGGAUCCCUAUCCCUUGUCUAUUCUUUCUGGAAAAACAAAAUAUAUGCCGAGCACUCGUAUCGUUCGGUUUAUUAUUGUUAUUACUCGUCGUUUAAAUUCAAUAUAUAUUUAUUGUCACCUAUCUCGUGAACUAAUUUGAUUUCCGAGAAUUAUUAAUUCUUGAGCUAUCGAAAUAUUUGAUCGAUUCGAAAUCCUUUUCCUGGAACUUAAUAAGUUCUCAUCUUGAUUCGGGAAUUAUUCCAAUAAUUUCUCUUCUCAAUUCCUUGACUACUCAAUUGAGUUCGUUUAUCGACCUUGAAUAAUUCAACGAGUUUCAGUCCGAUUCUCUAUCAAUUGUGAAUCGUUUCACAUAUUGACUUAUAUAAUAGUUGGAACCACUUCUUCUAUUAUGAUUCAGUAAAUCAUUUGAUUUGUUUCUACAGUGGUUCAAUGAACGUAAAUCGUUAUUUUCCCGACUCUUGGACCAUUUAGGAUUAUUGUAUUUAUCCACUAAAUCAUUCGUUUCGUACCCUUCUUGACUUGUGAUUUUGUGACCACAAGAUAUUAUCACUUGUUAUUGGAAUCCCACAACCGUUGAACUGUGAUAUUGGUUCUUUCCAAAGUGGAAUUCAUUAUUGGGAUUCAAAAUGUAAAUUGAGAUAGUCGGAAGCAUAUCCGUAUCUCUAUAUUAUUGAUUCCUUUGGGGACGCCCUAAGGAUAAUUGAACAGUUGGGCCCGAGGCUGUUCGAAAAAGACUGCCGGUCGGUAUUGGGCCGACGGUGGAUGGUCUCUUCGACAGUACCCAUAUUGGAUUCAGACCAUUGGCAUAGUUGGAGGUUAACUGUGCUGAUGGCUGAAUCGGCAUGCGCCCGGGCAUGCCAAUUGAUUGAUUAGCAGGGUCAUUCCCUGAUCGGUGUAUAAGGUAGUUACGGCUAAGGGAGUCACAAGGCAGGUACAAGUACAUGAACAAAUUGUUACCAUGGGAAUCUCCAUGGUCUCAUAUUUGAUAUCCGAAAUUGUUAUCGUGGGAAUCUCCACGAAAUUCAUAAUUGAUAUCCGGGAAUUUCCUGUUGACAUUGUUCUCUACCUGUACACAUUGAUUGUAUUAUUUACUCUGAUCACAUUGUUGUGCUCUCAUACUUUGGCUUUGUACCUUACCAAAUGAUCCUUCUCUAGAUGGUCCAAUUCCAAUAUCAUGUCUGACUUGUCCAUUGUUUUCUUAUUAUCCUUAUUAUUUGAUUCGACUGUUUUUCCCUUGUACUCCUCACUAAGUCCAUUUGGACUUAUUCCUCCUUUAUUUUCCUUCUUAUCCUCAG
rnacentral:lncRNA from 1 species